rnacentral:lncRNA from 1 species
GAUAAAGACCGCUGGGGUUUUGAUAUUUAGGAAUCACGUCCACGGAAGAGCUGGAGUUGAGACUUGAUUGCUUCAUGGACAAAUUCCCUGCAGUUUGGCUUCCACACUUGAUCCUUCCCUCCUGAAUAAAAUAAUAAGGUCAUAAAUUACAUGUUAAAAUUUGGGGAGUGGGCAGAGGACUUCAAACAGAACAUCGCGGGAGCAAGAGAACGCUGCCCAGAAGAGAGCAAAGCCCAGAACUACUGCAAGUUUGAUAAACUGUAAACUUUGUUCCCGGUCACAGGACUGGGAACCGCCUGAAAACUGCACAUGCAGAAAUGAUUAGGGCUGUUAUUUGAUCUUCAGUGUUUGCUAUCAAUCCCAGAAAGCAGAUCAUGUCUAUUUGCCAAAUAUGUUUAUUUCAGUAGGUGAAUUGCAGUGUAAGCACCUAGAAACUAGGAUUCACAUAAGGACUUUGAAAAUGAUCUCCGAAGUGUCUCUUUUUCCCGCAUCAUUUUCACACAUGCCUAAGGCAGAAGAAAACGUAACGGGGGUGGGGGGCCUUCUUCGAGCUAAUUGAGAAGCAAGAGGCUAUUUCCAUGGGAUCCCAUUUGAAAACGCUGUCUGAGAGGCUUUUCCAACUCUCAGAGCAUAUUUGAGACGCAGACUGUCAAAUGUGACUUACACAGAAGGCCGUUCACAGGAUGGCAGCGUAACAGAAAACAGCAGACAGGCAAGGCCAUUAAGUAACUUCAUGCUUGUUAAUGGGAGUCACUCAAGUGCAGCUCAACUGCGCAAGGCAGGAAAGUAAACACAAAUACGACUCCUGGUUUGCCACAAGCCCGGCCUCUGUAGUGAGAGAGCUGUGACUGCGUUUCCAGCUCCUUGAAGGCAGAGAGACUCCUGCCUUUCGGGGCGGGCGGGCUGGAACAAAGACACCAACGGGGCCACCUCGGAAAGUCUUUUUGAGCAGUUUCAGCAAAUAGCAUUUAAGGGAAGGGAAAAAAACUCCAAUGUACUCAAUAAGGCAGGAGUAAAGCCACUGGGGAUUUAGAACAAAGUGUGUCCUUGGAAAGAAGUGGGUAGAAUUUUGUGUGUGCAGUAGGUGGGGGAGGGAACCCCCUCCCGAGGGAGGAGUUCGAUUUCAUUAUACAGUUGGAAACCCGGUGAAAUCAUGUAUACGACUGGAUCUUUUCGCUCAGCGAGUGAGGUCUUUUUGUUCUUUGUCUUGCAGUGUGUACAGCAAAUUUCUGUUGUGCCUGGGAAGAAGGAAAUUUGAGUUAAAGAGGAGGCCCGCUCCAUAUGCCUUGUCACAAGUACACUCACUGAAACAUUAAUUCACGAAGAGAUUGCAACAAGACCAAAACGAAAGAGGAACAGGGCCUGACAAUGUUCAGAGAAGGAAAACCGAAGAAGUAACCAUCCCCAAGUUAAAAAUGACGUGGGGAUGAAAAAAUAGGUUGCCUGUUGUAUUUGUCAUUGAAAUGCACAAUCUUGUUUACUGUUUAUCUUGAGACUCUGGGAGCUCUCCUGCUGCUUAGGAAAAAAGAGGCAAAGGUUUAGGAAGAAAUGCUAGUCAUAAGAAAGAGAGGCAUUAGAAACCCUAGAGAGAAUGGGAGGUGUAAAUAGUAUGUGGGCAUUUGGCAAUCACCACAAAGAAAUGGGAGACAAAGGCAAGUGUCUGAUGCCAGAAAUCCUAAAAACUUGAGUGGAAAACCCAGACACAAUAAAAAUGUCCAAAAGAAAAAAAAGGCAAAAUCCCAUGAGAUCUUUUUUUUUCUCUGUGAUGUUACCUAAUGGAGAAAAUAAAGGUGGGUUUUGCCACAGUGAUCAUGGUGCCGUAUCCUAAAGGAAGUAGCUUCAUGAUAAGCCUUCAGAGGCUCUCUCCAGGCCAGCCCCAGCCUUAGGACAAAAUGGGACAAUCUUGGGGGACAAUUUCUUUCUCCAAAAAGGGGAUGAGAUUGGGCAGAAGAAACACUUGCAGGGCAGAGUUAUUAUCUCUCUCCCCGAAGAGUUUAAUCAAUUGUGGUCAUUUACAGAUCUCUGUCGUUGUCCUUUUCUCUCUCCCUCUUUCUUUUUCUUUCUUUCUUUCUUUCUUUCUUUCUUUCUUUCUUUCUUUCUUUCUUUUUCUUUCUUCUUUCUUUCUUUUUCUUUCUC